rnacentral:rRNA from 1 species
UAGGGAAUCUUCGGCAAUGGGGGCAACCCUGACCGAGCAACGCCGCGUGAGUGAAGAAGGUUUUCGGAUCGUAAAACUCUGUUGUUAGAGAGGAACAUGCAGGAGAGUAACUGUUCUUGUAUUGACGGUAUCUAACCAGAAAGCCACGGCUAACUACGUGCCAG